AGGGGGAGUUAAAUUGCUGAGUAACUGGGAGAUCAGGUAGGUUAAGGCGGACUGAGCGGACUUAUCUCUGUCCUGCACAUUCCCCUGACAUCAGUCUGAAGAAGGGUCUCGAUCCGAAACGUCGCCCAUUCCUUCUCUCCAGAGAUGCUGCCUGUCCUGCUGAGUUACUCCAGCAUUUUGUUUCUACCUUCGAUUUAAACUAACAUCUGCAGUUCUUUCCUACACAAAAUAUUUGUAAAGACAGCCGGUAGAAAAGUAUUAUUAUGAGAGAUCAGAUUCAAUUACAAUGGAAUAUAAUAUCUUGAUCAGGUAGUUACAGAUAGAGAAAGGGGUUUGUACCACACUAUAUGCUGUAUAACUAUCCUUACUAUGCUGCUCCAUACCUGGCUGUCACAUUGCAAACAGAGAACAAAAAUAAAUCGAUCUUUUUUAUGCUGUGAGGAUUUAAUCAGUGGAAUACCGCAGGGAAUGGUCCUUGGUCUUCAUUUCAUCAAUAACCUGGAGAAGGGAAUGGAAUGCACAGUUUCCAAGUUUGCAAAAAUGCGUGGAAGCACAUGUUGUGAGGUGGACAUUGUGAAUGUGCAAUGGGAAAGAGAAAGAUUGAGUGUUGUGCCAAAAUGGAGCUCAAUGUGGAGAAGUGAAAGGUCAAACCCUUCAAUAAGAGGAAUCAAAAGGCAACGUAUUAGGUCGGCAGGUUGCUAAUGAGCGAGUCUCAUGCAUGAAUCACAACCGACUAGCAGACAGGUCCAACAGACAGUAAAGGGCAGCACAGUGAUGCAGCGUAGAGUUGCUGCUUUACAGCGCCAGGGACCCGGGUUCGAGCCUGCCUAUGGGUGCUGUUUGUGUGGAGUUUGUUUGUUCUUCCUGGGUCCACAUAGGUUUUUUCUGACUGCACUGGUUUCCCCCCAUACUCCAAAGAUGUACAGGUUUGUAGGUUAAUUGGCUUUUGUAAAAUUGUAAAUUGUCCCUAGUGUGUAUCCCUAGAGGGAUAGACAGAGUUGACGUGGAUAAGCUUUUCCCACUGAGAGUAGGGAAGAUUCAAACAAGGGGACAUGACUUGAGAAUUAAGGGACAGAAGUUUAGGGGUAACAUGAGGGGGGACUUCUUUACUCAGAGAGUGGUGGCUGUGUGGAAUGAGCUUCCAGUGAAGGUGGUGGAGGCAGGUUUGUUUUUAUCAUUUAAAAAUGAAUUGGAUAGUUAUAUGGACGGGAAAGGUAUGGAGGGUUAUGGUCUGAACGCAGGUGUAUGGGACUAGGGGAGAAUACGUGUUCGGCACGGACUAGAAGGGUCGAGAUGGCCUGUUUCCGUGCUGUAAUUGUUAUAUGGUUAUAUGGUGUAGGGUUGCGCAGGUGUAUGGGGUGAUCGCUGGUCGGCGUGGACUUGGUGGGCUGGAGGACCUUUUUCCGUGCUGUAUCUCUAAUGUCUGAAGCCUAAGACGGUAAAGGGCAUUUUGUCCUGAUUGCAAAACGGUUAUAAUUUAAAAAAUGGAAACAUCUUAUUACAAUUGUGCUGGGUUUGGUGGAGCUACAACUUUAAAACUGUGCACAGUUUUGACCUUUACCUAAAAAGGGAUAUAUUAAAAUUAGAGGAUGACCAAAGGUGAUUCACCAGGAUAAUUCUUGGGAUCAAAGGGUUAAUCUAUCCUUGUUGUUUAGAAGAAUGAAGGUGACUUUACUCAAACAUUGAAGAUCUAUGGGGGAGGGGUGACAGAAUAGAUGUUGAGAUGUUUUCACCAAUGGGAGAGUCACGAAAAAGGAGACAUGGGUACAAGAUCAGAGAUUGGUCAUUUAAAAAUUAGAUGCUAGAAAUUUAUUUUUGCAGCGAGUUGUGGAUCCCUGGAAUUCUCUGACCACAAGAGUGAUGGAGGCUCGAUCAAUGGAAAUAUUUAACGAAAAGAUAAAUAAAUAAUGAAAAAUGAAAUGAAAUGAUUCAAUUUAUUGUCAUUGUCAGUGUACAGUACAGAGACAAUGAAAUGCAUUUUUAGCAUCUCCCUUGAAAGGGAGACACAGGGCGUCGUGGUGUGCCCGCGCCUGCCGCCGUAACAUUCCAUUACAGGCAAAGGUGGGUGAAGUGUCUUGCCCAAGGACACAACGACAGUAUGCACUACAAGCGGGAUUUGAACCGGCUACCUUCCGGUCGCCAGCCGAACUCUUAGCCCAUUGUGCUAUCUGUCGCCCAUUGUGCUAUCUGUUGAAAGAUCGAGGAAUGGAGAGCUUGGUGGAACUAACACAGAAGAGAAGUUGAAGUUAGCACAGAUUAGCCAAGAUCAUAUUGAAAGGCAGGGCUGGUGUGAGGGGCCUGGUGGUCUCCUCCUGCUCCUAUUUUCUUGUGUACCCAUGGCCAAGAUCAGAGCAUUGAAUACAAUCAAAAUAGAUGAGCCUGGUAUGUGUGAUUCCCAUGCCCAUGGGGAUAUAUGUUUGGUCUAUCUUCCCCACAUGUUUUAUUUUCCUCCCUCUCCCUCUCCCCCUCCCCCUCUCCCACUCUCUCCCUCUCUUGUCUCCUGCUGCACAGAUGACAGUAAGACACAGAAACAUGGGGAAUUUCCAUAUUGCAGUCAAGCAUCCAUUAUCACAAGAAUUGAAGCUAUAAACCACCUCAGUGUUUACCAUGAAUGGGUACUUUUCUCCUCCAACAUGGAGGUGGAAAAUUCUGCUUGAAACACCUGCUAUCGUUCUACAGACUGAUGCAAGUGCGCUAGGUUGGGGCGCCACUGGUACCAAUACCAGCUGUGGAGGUAGAUGGAAUGUGGAAGAGGUACCUUUGCUCGAAGCACAUGGAAUUAACUACCUAGAAUUGGCGGCAGCAACAUCGGCGGCCAAGGAUUUGGAUGUUCCAAUAGACCGUAUCCUCGAGGCUGCAGGAUGGGCAAGUGAACGGAUGUUUCACAAGUAUUACCAUAAAGAAAUAGCAGACCCUGGGGCAUUUGGUGGUGCUGUUUUGGAUUCAGUAUUAAAUGUUUCCCUGCAAUAAAAAGGGGACAAAAAAUGUUGUUAUGAUAAAUAAAACCAUUAACUGAUUACCUUAAUAUUAUGGUUGUAUACUAUUGAUUGUUUUUCACUCAUUUAGAGUCAAUCAAUGCAGUGAGACGCCUGGAUUUGAAUCUACGGCAUGAAAUCACAGAAGCUUUGAAAACUUCACGUAGUCACUCACGUGACUCCGAAGUAAAAUAGUAAGAUUGUGAGAACUUACCAGUUUGAAGUUUGAUCUUUAUUUUAUGGGGAGUUACAAUGAGGGACUACGUGCCCUCCGCUCCCACCCUCAUAAAGAUCAACAGGAAAUUAUGUUUGUCUCACGUAGCUUACUAUUAUGCUUCGGUAAAUUAUCAUCUGUGAUUUCACACCGCUGCUUUGAAGAUUGACGCGUAUGCGCCUGGACGGGGUCUUCUUCACCUAGUCCCUCAUCGUAACUCCUUAUAAAAUAAAGAUCAAACUUCAAACUGGUAAGUUCCCAUUUAGGCUUACUAUUAUAUGACCGUCCCGCCAUCCUGGGAAUUAACCUCGUGAACCUACGCUGCACUCCCUCAAUAGCAAGGAUGUACGUCCUCACCAAACCUGCACACAAUACUCCAGGUGUGGUCUCACCAGGGCCCUAUACAACUGCAGAAGGACCUCUUUGUUCCUAUAUUCAACUACUCUCUUUAUGAUGGCAACAUUCCAUUAGCUUUCUUCACUGCCUGUUGUACCUGCGUGCUUCCUUUCAGUGAAUGAUGUACUAGGACACACAGAUCUCGUUAUAUUUCCCCUUUUCCUAACCUGACACCAUUCAUAUCAUAAUCUCUCUUCCCGUUCUUGCCUCCAAAGUGGAUAACCUCAUAUUUAUCCACAUUAUACUGCAUCUGCCCACUCACCCAACCUAUCCAAGUCACUCUGCAUCAUACAAUCCUCUUCACACUGCUACCCAGCUUUGUGUCAUCUGCAAAUUUGCUAAUGUUACUUUUAAUUCCUUCAUCUAAAUCAUUAAUGUAUAUUGUAAAUAGCUGCAGUCCUAACACAGAGCAUUGCGGUACCCCACUAGUCACUGCCUGCCAUUCUGAAAGGGACUUGUUAAUCCCAACACUUUGUUUCCUGUCCGCCAACCAAUUUUCUUUCCAUGUCAAUAACCUACCCCCAAUGCCACUUGCUCUAAUUUUGCCCACUAAUCUCCACUGUGGGAAGUUAUCAAAGGCUUUCUGAAAGUC